UACGAAGGGUGCAAACGUUGCUCGGAAUUAUUGGGCGUAAAGCGCACGUAGGCGGCUUUGUAAGUUAGAGGUGAAAGCCCAGGGCUUAACCCUGGAAUUGCCUUUAAGACUGCAUCGCUAGAAUCGUGGAGAGGUGAGUGGAAUUCCGAGUGUAGAGGUGAAAUUCGUAGAUAUUCGGAAGAACACCAGUGGCGAAGGCGACUCACUGGACACGUAUUGACGCUGAGGUGCGAAAGCGUGGGGAGCAAACAGG
rnacentral:rRNA from 1 species